UACGGAGGGUGCAAGCGUUAUCCGGAAUCACUGGGUUUAAAGGGUGCGUAGGCGGCGUGAUAAGUCAGAGGUGAAAGCUCACGGCUCAACCGUGGAAUUGCCUUUGAUACUGUCAGGCUUGAAUCAGCACGAGGCAGGCGGAAUGUGGCAUGUAGCGGUGAAAUGCUUAGAUAUGCCAUAGAACACCGAUUGCGAAGGCAGCCUGCCAGAGCUGUAUUGACGCUGAGGCACGAAAGCGUGGGGAGCGAACAGG
rnacentral:rRNA from 1 species